rnacentral:lncRNA from 1 species
UUUGUUGUGUUUUUCCCUCAAUCUUGUAUAUAAGCCCGAGAGAGAGUGGGCUCUGCAGCACAGAUCUGCUCAGGAAAGGGAGAGCAGGGACUGGAGUCGGACUGGAGGGUCUGCUGGGAUUCCCUUUCGGAAAACCCUGGAGUCUGGCCUGGCUGGAAAACUGGGGAUUCUCCUCCCCUCGGGAAUCUGGGCGUCCACCAGGGAUUCGAUCCGGGGACGCCUCCUGUGCGGUGUUCCCCUGAACUGGGACCGCCUGGGGAGAGUUCAGAGGUCAUGCCCUGCUGUCUCCAUGGGCCUGUGGACUCCGACAGGACAGGACUGCAGCCAGCUCGUCCCAGAAAUCUGGAAAUCACAUGGACAGUUUGUUCAGGAGACCCCCCCCCCCAGGGCUCCCCAGAAACCCCCUCCUCAUUGAGAGGUGCUGGUUUUAUGCAGAGAUGACAGGCCUGCCAGCCUGCACUGGGAGAGUUUGACCGUCCAGCCAGGGGACCCUGCAGAACUGCGCUGCUCCAGAUCGCAGAGAGGCGGAGGAGGAGACUGGUGAGUAUCUGACCAGGGUGAGAGACAGCAAAGAGCAACAGACCUGACAGGCUCAGUGACCAUAGAAACUGGACACAGACAGACGUGACUGUCCAGAGAGGACAGG